AUGAAGCUCUUGGCCCUCCGGAUGGCGCAGAUGUACGCGUCCUGGAUGCUCCGGUCGAUGAUCUGGUCCUUGCCGCUCACCAGCCCCGCCUUCGCCGCGUCCUCGGGGUUGUCCGGGAACCCGAAGGCGGCGCCGCCAUCGAUGGACCGGAACAGCUGCACGUUCCACGCCUCCCUGUCCUCGGCGUGCAUCACCGGCGACGGCGGGAUGAUGUCGUCGGCGAGGUCCCUGAGCUGGACGAGCAGGUCCUUGCCGCCCUGCUUGCGCCACCGCUGCUCGAAGUUGUAG
rnacentral:rRNA from 1 species